rnacentral:rRNA from 1 species
CCUUUUCUACGGAAUAGCUCUGGGAAACUGGAAUUAAUACCGUAUACGCCCUACGGGGGAAAGAUUUAUCGGGGAAGGAUUGGCCCGCGUUGGAUUAGCUAGUUGGUGGGGUAAAGGCCUACCAAGGCGACGAUCCAUAGCUGGUCUGAGAGGAUGAUCAGCCACAUUGGGACUGAGACACGGCCCAAACUCCUACGGGAGGCAGCAGUGGGGAAUAUUGGACAAUGGGCGCAAGCCCGAUCCAGCCAUGCCGCGUGAGUGAUGAAGGCCUUAGGGUUGUAAAGCUCUUUCACCGAUGAAGAUAAUGACGGUAGUCGGAGAAGAAGCCCCGGCUAACUUCGUGCCAGCAGCCGCGGUAAUACGAAGGGGGCUAGCGUUGUUCGGAAUUACUGGGCGUAAAGCGCACGUAGGCGGAUAUUUAAGUCAGGGGUGAAAUCCCAGAGCUCAACUCUGGAACUGCCUUUGAUACUGGGUAUCUUGAGUAUGGAAGAGGUAAGUGGAAUUGCGAGU